rnacentral:rRNA from 1 species
GACGAACGCUGGCGGCGUGCUUAACACAUGCAAGUCGAACGGAAAGGCCCUGCUUUUGUGGGGUGCUCGAGUGGCGAACGGGUGAGUAACACGUGAGUAACCUGCCCUUGACUUUGGGAUAACUUCAGGAAACUGGGGCUAAUACCGGAUAGGAGCUCCUGCUGCAUGGUGGGGGUUGGAAAGUUUCGGCGGUUGGGGAUGGACUCGCGGCUUAUCAGCUUGUUGGUGGGGUAGUGGCUUACCAAGGCUUUGACGGGUAGCCGGCCUGAGAGGGUGACCGGCCACAUUGGGACUGAGAUACGGCCCAGACUCCUAUGGGAGGCAGCAGUGGGAAUAUUGCACAAUGGGCGGAAGCCUGAUGCAGCAACGCCGCGUGCGGGAUGACGGCCUUCGGGUUGUAAACCGCUUUCGCCUGUGACGAAGCGUGAGUGACGGUAAUGGGUAAAGAAGCACCGGCUAACUACGUG